CCCCGAUUUCCCACCGAGCUUUUUUCGGCUCCAACACUCUCACACAGUCUCCAACUCAAAUAGCGACAAUCGACUACUGCAAGUGUUGAAAAGAAAGAAAAAGGAGAAAGAAAGUAAAGAGAGAGAAAGAGAAAGAAGGAAAGGGAAAGGACAGGAGAAGCAGCAGCAGCAGCAGCACAGCAGCUUAAUCUUCAAGCGGAAAAUGCGAAUAAUCUCCUCAGUCUUCUUCUUCUUCUCCCACUCUACUUUCGUUGCUAUUCUCAUAAGCAUUUCCGCAUCUUUGCUGGCGAAUGUCGCAAUCGGAGGAGAUCCUUUUAUUUUCUUUAAUUGGGAGGUCUCGUACAUCAAAGCUUCCCCUCUUGGAGUUUCCCAGCAGGUAAUUGGAAUUAAUGGGCAAUUUCCAGGACCAACUGUCAACUUGACUACAAACUGGAAUGUUGUUGUGAACGUCCACAACAAAUUGGAUGAGCCAAUCCUUCUCACAUGGAAUGGUAUACAACAAAGGAGAAACUCUUGGCAGGAUGGUGUUUUGGGGACAAAUUGUCCAAUUCCGGCUAGUUGGAAUUGGACAUAUGAAUUUCAGGUUAAGGAUCAAAUAGGGAGUUUCUUUUAUUUCCCUUCUACUGGUUUCCAGAAAGCUUCUGGUGGGUACGGAGAAAUCAUCAUAAACAACAGACCGGUGAUUCCAGUUCCCUUUGGGACUCCAGAUGGAGAUAUUGCAAUCUUCAUUGGUGACUGGUAUACGAAGAGUCACAAGGAGCUAAGAAAAGCCCUUGAAGAUGGUAAUGACCUUGGGGUGCCGGAUGGGGUUCUCUUUAAUGGGUUAGGUCCAUACCGCUACAAUGAUUCACUUGUGCCUGCUGGAAUUCCUUACAAGACGAUAAAUGUGGAACCAGGAAAAACUUACCGUCUUCGGGUACACAAUGUUGGCAUCUCCACUAGCCUUAAUUUCAGAAUCCAAGAUCAUAACAUGCUCCUCGUGGAGACGGAAGGGUCCUAUACAGUUCAACAGAACUAUACAAACAUGGAUAUCCAUGUGGGUCAAUCGUACUCAUUCCUGGUCACGAUGGAUCAAAAUGCCAGCAAUGAUUACUAUAUGGUGGCAAGUCCUCGGUUUGUCAGUGGAGCUGACUGGACGAGAGCCACAGGUGUUGCCAUCUUGCACUACUCCAAUUCCCAGGCCCCUGCUUCAGGUCCAAUUCCAGAACCCCCAAUUGAGUAUGACACAUAUUUCUCGAUGAACCAAGCAAGGUCCAUCAGAUGGAAUGUCUCUGCUGGUGCUGCUCGUCCCAAUCCUCAAGGAUCUUUUAAAUAUGGUCAAAUCACUGUCACAGAUGUGUAUGUGCUGCUUAACAGACCUCCAGAGCUUAUAGAUGGAAAAUUGAGGGCUACUUUGAAUGGAAUUUCAUACAUUGCACCUGCUACUCCCCUAAAGCUGGCUCUGCAAUAUGAUAUAUCAGGAGUUUACAAGCUUGAUUUUCCGAACAGAAUGAUGAACAGACCUGCAAAGGUUGACACAUCUAUAAUAAAUGGUACUUAUAGAGGUUUCAUGGAAAUUAUAUUCCAGAACAAUGAUACUAUCGUUCAAAGCUACCACUUGGAUGGAUAUGCAUUCUUUGUUGUGGGCAUGGAUUAUGGAGCGUGGACAGAGAAUAGCAGAGGCACUUACAAUAAGUGGGAUGGAGUUGCCCGCUGCACCACACAGGUGUUUCCUGGGGCCUGGACAGCAAUACUAGUAUCUCUCGACAAUGUAGGCAUCUGGAACCUGCGCUCUGAAAACCUGAAAUCAUGGUAUCUGGGACAGGAAACAUAUGUCAGCGUGGUGAAUACAGAGGUCAACAACAAGACUGAAGUUCCUUUGCCUGACAACAUACUGUACUGUGGUGAACUUUCAGGCUUACAAAAAGAGCAGUCCCAAAGAGUAAGAUUUUCUGAAGCAGUGGUGGUUACUAAUGCCAGUAGUAGAACAAUCUUUGUGGCACUUCUGAUUACAUGGUUUGGUCUUUUUUCCUGACAACCAACUCAUGCUAGAGAGAUUCAAAGGAUGAGACUUGAAUUUCAAGCGAGUACGCAAGUUCUAGCGACUCUAGAUCAAAAUCCGCAUCCUAAGGAGGUGUAAAUGAUGUGCAGGUGGGUGUUCACGUGGAGCAUGAGAAGCUGAAUAAUCUUGCGAUUUUAGAUUCUAGAUUUAAUUGAUUUUGUACUUUCUUGUAUUUGUAGUUCUUGAGACAUUAGUUUGUAUAAGCCCUAUGGGCAGCCACUUGUAUAUCUUGAAAAUCUAGAAUGUAUCUAUAGACUUUCCCUUUAUGCCUGA